AUAGGGUGGCGUAGUCUGCCGUUUCGUCGGCGAUCGACAUACUUGCUAUGUGCGAAGACCCUCUUCUGUGAGGGUGUUGAAUAGUUGCAUGCCGUCCAAAAUAGUUGAAAAGUCAAAAAAUUAGUAAAAGAUUGGAACAAAGAGUUUAAAAAGUAUAAAUAUUCCAACACACAGAAAAUCAUUUGUUUGAUUGCAAUAUAAUCAGAAAAAAGAAAGGAAAUAGUUAGUAAUAAUUACAAUUGUAUUUAAACAAAAAAAAUAAUAAAGACUUGUUUUCUUA